CCCAGUCUUUGUGGCAUGGUCUGGGGCUGCGGUGGGAGUUGGGAUGGGGCACUGGCCACAGCAGCCUGCAGCCCUCAGAAGUGCUCUCAUUUCAGUUGCUAGGGGCUGGCCAUAGCCGGGCCGGGCAUGGUCAGCCCCUCAGCCACCAACUCCCAACACUGACUGCAGCAGAACAGACCUGGCGGCUGUGUUGGGCUCCUGUGGGGAGGGGCGUGAGGGCCCUUCCCUUUUGCAGCCAGUUGGCCUGAUUUCAACCCUUACUGGAAGCAAUCAAGCAUGCAUGUGCUAGGUCACAAAGUUCAAAUAACUAACUCAGCUUUCAGAUUAUUACUUAAACAAUUACAUUCAUGAGAUUUAAAUCUAACACACCCAAAUUUAAACUAGCGUAUUAUGAUAAAAGUCUAUAGCCUUUGAUCAGUCUUGAGGAAGAAAGUCUUAUUGUAUCUUAUUCCUCCACAGAGUAAUGAUAAGGAUUAAAUAGAAAGCAUGAUCCCUAUUUUACAGGUUCCUCUUCACUUCCUGAAGAUGGGAAGUCCUAAUCUGGCUAACUGAUCUAGUCGAUAAUGAGCACCCAAUGCUGAAUAGGGGACUCAGGUGGGAAGUCAUCUACAAAACUACAGGCUCAUAGAAAUUUGCGAGGACUCAGAGAACUGGAUUGCUAUAACAUCUUUCUAAGAUCUGCUUCAGGCAAUGCAUUUCAGCAAAGAACAAGCCAUGGAAGAUCGCAGUUCCAGGCUGCAUGCGGCCCUUGGCACCAGCAGAAGCAUUUAUACAGAAAUGUGGGUCACCUGGAUGCCCAGCCCAAUGGCUCUGGAUGCUCAUUACCAAACAAGGCAUGAGUUCCCAGUAAUGCCAGCUCGAUUUCUCUGGGGGAAAGAUAACCUGACUUGCAAUCCUUUUUGGAUCAUCUGUGAGUUUGAUUUAGUAGAAUUGUGGAAAUUGAGAAUGUUUUUCAUAAGCUUUGAUGAACCUUCUAGAACCUAUGCCGUCUAAUCUCUGAUUUUACAAUUGAGGAUUCAGGGGCUCAGAGACGUUAAGUGGGUGCCCCAGGCAUAACCAGUCAGCAGGAGUCAGGCAAGGUUUUGGGGCUUCUCAGAUGGUGCUGAUUACAUGACCCACAGCUACUGUUUUGAGCCCAUUUUCAUCACCUGCCAGCUCCUGUUUGUAGGAUUUGAAGCUUCAACAGCUUCUAGAGAUUGGAGAAGUAAAACAGAUCCAGAAGGAGAAGUUGCAAAUCAUUGUUUUCUUCUUUAACGCCUCUUUUUUUCUUCUGGAAGGAUUUUUG
rnacentral:lncRNA from 1 species